rnacentral:lncRNA from 10 species
UAUUGUGUCUCUGCCAGGUUUUGGUAUCAGAAUGAUGUUGACCUCAUAGCAUGAGUUAAGGAGGAGUCUCAUCUCCUUGAUUUGUUGGAAUAGUUUCAAUAGAAUUGGUACCAACAUUUCAUUACACAUCUGGUAGAAUUUGGCUAUAAAUCUGUUCUGGGAGAUUCAUGGAAAAGAAGGAAAGUACUCUGACAAAUACAGAUUUCUGAUAACAUUAAGAUUAUACCAUUGGACCAGGACUGGAUCCUGAAUUCUUCUAAUUUCCUGCAACAUCUGGCUACAGCUCUCCAACUGAGAACAACAAUUGCUCUAUUCCUGAAACCCUACAACCUGAAGCUGGAAAACUUGAUGUAAAAUUCACCCUUGCAAUUUUUACACCCUUGUCUUGUGCCCUAUAUGGGCCACACAGAAAAUUUACUAAAAUCCUUCAUGCCAUAAUCAGAGACAUUCAAACUGCAAACAACGAGGACAUAUUAAUGAUUUCCUGCUGUGAGUGGCUUUUCCUCAAGACAUCAGAACAGGAGUUUCCAUCAUAGUAGGACUCUUACUCUUAUUUUUUUCUUGUGCGUGCCUACCCUUUUUGCUUGGUGGAAUAAUGCUAUACAUACAAAUUCACAGUCAGCAGCUUCUGUGAAUAACUUGAUGAAAUGUUGGAUCUGUCACACCAAAUCCAAAUAUUUACCUCACCCAAGGGAUUCUUUAAUCCACUAGUGAGUAACUUGAGCAAUAUCCAUUGUGCAACUAUUGUUCAAAUUAUACCCCAGGUCUCUUUUAUAGAAUAAAAUUUGUAUACCCAUUUAUUCUCACUCCCUGCUUUAGUUUAACCUGUCAUGGGAUGCUAGAUUUUCUACUACCUGAACAGAAAAGAGUCUGUAAGGCUGAUGGCACUU